CCCAGACUCCUACGGGAGGCAGCAGUGGGGAAUAUUGCACAAUGGGGGAAACCCUGAUGCAGCGACGCCGCGUGAGUGAAGAAGUAUCUCGGUACGUAAAGCCCUAUCAGCAGGGAAGAAAAUGACGGUACCUGACUAAGAAGCACCGGCUAACUACGUGCCAGCAGCCGCGGUAAUACGUAGGGGGCAAGCGUUAUCCGGAAUUACUGGGUGUAAAGGGAGCGUAGACGGCAGGUCAAGUCUGGAGUGAAAUCCCGGGGCCCAACCCGGGAACUGCCUUGGAAACUGGGCAGCUCGAGUGUGGGAGAGGGAAGUGGAAUUCCUGGUGUAGGGGUGAAAUGCGUAGAUAUUAGGAGGAACACCAGUGGCGAAGGCGGCUUACUGGGACGUAACUGACGCUGAGGCGCGAAAGCGUGGGGAGCAAACAGGAUUAGAUACCCCGGUAGUA
rnacentral:rRNA from 1 species